UGGCGGGUUGGAGAUGGCACCCAUAUCAAAAUCUGGGAGGAUCCGUGGCUUCCUAGAGGCACUACAAGGCGCCCAAUUUCUCACAGAGAUACAGAGGACUGGAUUGCAUGUCAUUUUGAUGCAAAAGGGGAAUUCUCUGUUAAAUCGGCUUACCGUGUGUAUUUAGCGACCGAGCUACUGAAUUCUGGUAGCAAUGAAGGAUGGCCUUCGGUUGGUGAUUCAUGGAAGAAUAAAGUCUGGAGGGAUUUAUGGAAAUUGCAUUGCCCGGCAAAAAUACACCAUUUUCUUUGGAGGUUCGGCCAUAAUAGCCAUCCUUUGCAUAUGAAUAUUGCCAGGAGAGGAGUGGUCCUGGACACAUCUUGUGUUGUCUGUCAUAGGCUCUUUGAGGAUGGUGGUCAUUUAUUUUUCCGAUGCAAGGGUGUUAAACCGCUCUGGCGGGGUCUCCAGAUUGAGGAUAUUCGUUUGCAACUGAUGGAAUGUCAAGGCCCGAUCCAUGUGCUGGAAUGUAUUCUGAAACUCCCGUAUGAGAAGAAGAUGAUGACCGUCGCACUUUUGUGGGCUUGGUGGUCAGAGAGGAACAAAACUAAUCAUAAUGAGUCCAGGCUAUCCACUGGUGAAUUUAUUUUCUUGAUCAA